AGAGCGAACGCUGGCGGCGUGCUUAACACAUGCAAGUCGAGCGGAAAGGCCCUUCGGGGUACUCGAGCGGCGAACGGGUGAGUAACACGUGAGCAACCUGCCCUUAGCUUCGGGAUAGCUCCGGGAAACCGGAAUUAAUACCGAAUAUGACUUUGGCUGACAUCAGCAGAAGUGGAAAGUUUUUCGGCUAGGGAUGGACUCGCGGCCUAUCAGCUAGUUGGUGAGGUAACGGCCCACCAAGGCGACGACGGGUA
rnacentral:rRNA from 1 species